rnacentral:sRNA from 1 species
CGAGCGAAAGCGAGAAAGCGUUGCCAACGGCAACGACCCGAAGGGCGAAGCGCGCAGCGCUGAGUAAUCCUUCCCCCGUCAUCC